rnacentral:lncRNA from 12 species
GAACAUCUGCAUGAGCCUUGCUAAUGAAGCAAUGGGACAGACAAAACUACAAUAUUGGCAGGGCUCAAAAGCACCCAGCCAGGGAGUCUUGGCAGGAGAAGGAAAAAUUUUCAAGAAGGCUUCAGGAAUUUAGAACACUAUAUUCUAAAUCAGGUGUUCUGGUUGUCAUGGACCGAGUCACUGCCUCAGAGACCAUGACAGCCCAGCAGUUGGAAAUCCUGCUAGCCACAGGAGGGCUGGAGCUGCAAACAGCCUCGAAACAGCUCCUCAUAACACCAUGAAGCAAUUAACUACUUGAACAUCUCCCGUUUGCCUCUCCUCAGAACACAUUUUGCAUAAACUGGAAAGUACAAAUAAAGUCUACUUCAUGAUUAAAGGGAGG